rnacentral:pre_miRNA from 1 species
UAUGAGACUGCCGUCCUCAACCAAAGUUGCAGUGCGUUUGAGUUUAUGGUAGUGUCAUAGC